rnacentral:rRNA from 1 species
CCCCUAGAUGUUCUGGGCCGCACGCGCGCUACACUGAACAGUUCAACAAGUCUUAACCUUGGCCGAUAGGUCUGGGUAAUCUUUGAACGCUGUUCGUGAUUGGGAUAGACCUUUGCAAUUAUGGGUCUUCAACGAGGAAUUCCUAGUAAACGCAAGUCAUCAGCUUGCAUUGAUCACGUCCCUGCCCUUUGUACACACCGCCCGUCGCACCUACCGAUUGAAUGGUCCGGUGAAAUCUCGGGACGGCGGCUUGGUCGCUUGCGUCCGACUGCUGAAACUUGAUUAAACCAUAUCAUUUAGAGGAAGGUGAANUCGUANCA